GAGCUAAUGUCAGAAGAAAGUGACUCUCUGCGAACCAGCCCCUCUGUGGCCUCGCUCUCGGAAAAUGAGCUGCCGCCACCGGCCGAGCCUCCUGGCUACGUGUGCUCGCUGACGGAAGACCUGGUCACCAAAGCCAGGGAGGAGCUGCAGGAGAAGCCAGAAUGGAGACUUCGAGACGUGCAGGCCCUCCGUGACAUGGUGCGGAAGGAGUGCCCGAACCUGAGCACCUCCCUGGACGACGCCUUCCUGCUACGCUUCCUCCGAGCCCGCAAGUUCGAUUACGACCGGGCCCUGCAGCUCCUGGUCAACUACCACAGCUGCAGGAGAAGCUGGCCCGAGGUCUUCAACAACCUGAAGCCCUCGGCCUUAAAGGAUGUCCUCGCUUCUGGAUUCCUCACCGUGCUGCCCCACACCGACCCCCGGGGCUGCCAUAUCCUCUGCAUGCGCCCAGACAGAUGGAUACCGAGCAACUAUCCAAUUACCGAAAACAUCCGAGCCAUAUACUUGACGUUAGAAAAACUCAUUCAGUCUGAAGAAACCCAGGUGAAUGGAAUUGUAAUUCUUGCAGACUACAAAGGAGUGAGCUUAUCAAAAGCAUCUCACUUUGGCCCUUUUAUAGCCAAAAAGGUGAUUGGCAUCCUUCAGGAUGGCUUUCCCAUUCGGAUAAAAGCAGUGCAUGUAGUGAAUGAACCUCGAAUAUUUAAGGGCAUUUUUGCCAUCAUAAAACCAUUUCUGAAGGAGAAAAUAGCAAACAGAUUCUUCCUCCACGGGUCCAACCUGAACUCUCUGCACACAAGCCUUCCCAGAAGCAUUCUCCCCAAGGAGUAUGGGGGCACGGCUGGAGAGCUGGACAUCACCGCCUGGAAUGCAGUGCUGCUGGCCUCGGAGGAGGACUUCGUGAGAGAGUUCUGCCAACCUGUCCCUGUCUGCGACAGCAUCCUGGGCCAGGCCCCGCCUCCUGAGGGGCUGACCCCAGAUGUGCAGUGUGAUGAUUCUCUGAGGGCCGUGAAAUCGCAGCUCUACUCCUGCUAUUAGCCAGUCCCCUAUGAGUGCCGCCAUCUUUAAAUCCUUUCCUUUUUCUUUGGAGAGGCGCAAGGAGAGUCUGAGGUGCCAUGGAGUCUGUCUUGCUCCUGGUAAUUAAACUGCAGCCUGUAGAGCUCUGAGGGUAAGCCAUGGGGUAAGCCUUUGGUGACUCUUGAAUUAAUCCAUGGAAGACAUGGAAAAUGUCCCCAGUGAUCCCCAAGCGUUGGGAAUCCCAGUUUGCAACCACAAUCUGGAAGCUCUAUCUGGUUCAUAGAGAUCUUGGAACAAGAAAAAUCAGGACCAAAGUCAUUUUGGUUCCACGUUCCAGGAGCAAACCGCCUGAUUGGCCAGUCAGCACACUCCUGUGAAAGAACCUGGCCGAGCCUGCAAGGUGGCCACACCAGGAGACUUUGGGAGUUUGUGUCUUUCACCUGAACCCUAACUACAGACUUGCGUUGCUCCUCAGGAAGUUUCUAGUUUGAGGCCCAGGCCCCAGCUGCCACACUGGGUUUGGAAAGCACCUUAAUCGAAUCAUCGUGGAGGCAGCAGGACAGAAGCAGCACCUUCCUGAUCAAAUUUGGGGGCCCGCGACCUGGAAGCACCUCUGGGAUUCACUGACUGACUCUUGCAAUAGAAAAUGAAGUUUUCCCCAAACCCAUAAAGCCUUAGCCCUGGUUCUCAACAGAAUCAUACGGGAUCCUAGAGGUAUGUGAUUUUACUCAAAACGCUAGAUGCCAGGCCUGAGGAGCUGAAAGAAUUCUGGCCCAGGAAUGAAGAGAGCGGGGCUGCAGCCCAGAAGUGCGACUGUGGACAAGACCUGGGCCUCUGGGCUCUGCCUUCUCAUCUGUAAAAUGAAGCUGGAUGAAAUGACGCCUAGGGCCUUGGCUGCUGACAUUCUGGGGUUUGCUUUAUUGAAUGCUGGACACUGGUUUUCUGCCUAGAGAAAUGGCUCUCUAGAGGCAAGUGGUUGGAUCCUGCUUUUUUGUGGUACACCUGGGCCUUCCCAAGAGACAUGAGUUACCAGCUGGCCCUGCCUUUAAGGAAAGUAAGAGGUGUAUUCCUGGGACCUGGCGACAGCCAACUUCCUUUUUGUAGGAAGGGUUAAACUGGAAAAGGGCAGGUGAAAUGACCAGGGUUCACGUGAAUUCCUUCUGUCCCCGAGGCUCCGGCGGUACACUGGAAACCUGGCAGCAGGGAAUGGCUAAAUUACUUGGGAGUCUUAAAUUUUGGUCUCUGGAAACGAAUGCACGAGCGGGUUAUCGCUGGAUUACUUCUGGGGCCCCCGCCCUCCCAGAUACGCUUGCAUUUCUCUCUCUGGUGUGGGCGGACUGACUUGAGUCUAGCCAGCGAGACCAAAUGUUAGUUCUCCAUUUCAGCACUUUAGACCCUUCCUGUCAAAACUUCAGCCUUAGCCCAACCACCAAACCAGGUGGUUCAGCUGGUGGCUUUUUGACCUAUUUCCUUUCGUAUUCAUUCCUUGAAAAUUAUGGCGUUAAAAAAUGGACAAGUACUAUGUGUUGUCUAAGUACGUUCUCCACGCAUUUAUGAGGCCGCCGCGCAAGGGGACAACAGCUCAGAAUCUGGAAAACUAUGACUUUUCCUGGAAUCCUGUUCUACCUUCACGGAGAGAGGCUGGAAGAAAUGUGCAGAAACAACUGUGCAAAUCUGGCUUCCUCUCCCAAGCUUACCUGCUUUGGGCAGAAGUGGCUUUAGCUUCCCCAUACUUCAUCUCGUUUUCACAAGAAGCCACAUGUCCUUAGAGGUUUACAAACACUUCAGCUUGUAAGAUACAUUUUUGCCAGACUCAGAGGACAGGAAGAGGUAUUUUCCCCCAAAUUCCUGUGAGCUACCGAGCCUUUCUGAAUUCUCCCGGUGGGCAGUUUCUUUAAAUGCCACCGGAUUCUCAGAUUGCUUUUUCACUUGGGUAGGCAAAAGCUGUGGUACUGUUGUGGCAUUAUUUAUUACUUCAUUUUAAAGUCUUUAGCUUUUAAGGUUUUCCUUUGAAGCCUUCCUUUCAUUGAGGAAGUGAAGUGUUAGCCAAGGUAAUGAUGCAAAUGUGGCUGUUCUGUGGAUGUGUGGAGACACCAAACAGAAACAUCU